GUGCCUAAUACAUGCAAGUCGAGCGCACUGGCCCAACUGAUAUGACGUGCUUGCACUGAUUUGACGAUGGAUUACCAGUGAGCGGCGGACGGGUGAGUAACACGUGGGCAACCUGCCCUAAAGCGGGGGAUAACAUUUGGAAACAGGUGCUAAUNCCGCAUAACUACGAAAACCACAUGGUUUUCGUAUCAAAGAUGGUUUCGGCUAUCACUUUAGGAUGGACCCGCGGUGCAUUAGCUAGUUGGUAGGGUAACGGCCUACCAAGGCAAUGAUGCAUAGCCGAGUUGAGAGACUGAUCGGCCACAAUGGAACUGAGACACGGUCCAUACUCCUACGGGAGGCAGCAGUAGGGAAUCUUCCACAAUGGGCGCAAGCCUGAUGGAGCAACACCGCGUGAGUGAAGAAGGGUUUCGGCUCGUAAAACUCUGUUGUUGAAGAAGAACGUGCAUGAGAGUAACUGUUCAUGCAGUGACGGUAUUCAACCAGAAAGUCACGGCUAACUAC
rnacentral:rRNA from 1 species